GCGGUAGCGGCACCGGCAGAGGUAGCGGCACCGGCAGCGGUAGCGGCACCGGCAGCGGUAGCGGCACCGGCAGCGGUAGCGGCACCGGCAGCGGUAGUGGCACCGGCAGCGGCAGCGGCACCGACGGCGGCGGCGGCGGGAAUGUUGGCAAUGGCAGUGACAGGAGUGGUGGUGGCUACAGUAAUAGCGGCAGCGCCCGGGUGGACAG
rnacentral:lncRNA from 1 species